AACGAACGUUAGCGGCGCGCCUAAGACAUGCAAGUUGAGCGAGAAAGGGAUUCGUCCCCGGUAAAGCGGCGCACGGGUGAGUAACACGUAGGUAAUCAACCCUCGAGUGGUGGACAACUCUCCGAAAGGAGAGCUAUACAGCAUGACGUGGCGGUCUUCCGAGAUCGUUUCCAAAGCGGGCCUCUUCAUGAAAGCUCGCGCUCGAGGAUGAGCCUGCGGCCCAUCAGCUAGUUGGCGGGGUAACAGCCCACCAAGGCAUAGACGGGUAGCUGGUCUGGGGGGAUGAACAGCCACACUGGAACGAGGACACGGUCCAGAGUCCUACGGGAGGCAGCAGUCGGGAAUCUUCCGCAAUGGGCGAAAGCCUGACGGAGCGACGCCGCGUGAGUGAUGAAGGCCUUCGGGUUGUAAAGCUCUGUGGGGAGGGAAGAAUAAGUUCAAGCGAAUACCUUGAAUGAUGACGGUACCUCCUUAGCAAGCACCGGCUAACUCUGUGCCAGCAGCCGCCGUAA
rnacentral:rRNA from 1 species